ACAGGCAUCGAAAAACAGUCGUCAAAUGGCUAAUGUGGAGUUCAGUGAUGCCAGAUGUUAAGAUAUGUCAUCAUUGGAAGGCAUUUAAGCUUGUAUUAAGACGUGAAGCCUUAUAACCGGUAGAUUAGCCGCACACGAUUUAAUGUUUUACCUGGAAUUUUUGGCCAAUCGUCAAAAUUUUAAUGGAUUGAAUUUACAUGUUUUUGAUGUGUGUCUACCAGGGGGAUGACAUCUUUCUAGUUUAAAGGAGUAAAGAGUCUUCCCGACUAAAGUGGCAGGUAUAUGGAAUUUUUGCUGGGCAUCUGACUCGGGGCUAUAUUUUAAAUAUAGCCCCGAUAUGUGGGCGAUUGUCAAUCGUGUAGAGUUUAGAUAGGGCUGCCAUCCCCUUGGUGUCUACAUAUCUGAAUUGUGAAAACAUUUGAAGAAAUGAUUCUGGCAUCCAUGGUGAAGUCUAAGGUGUGUAAUCCUGUGUGAAACGUAUAUGGAACGAUUUGGAAUUCCUGGUAAAUGACCAAGGGUUUGAGACCUGGCUAGAGCUGGAUAUUGCUCACGAUGAAAGUGGCAUACUGAAUUUUUGGACUCCGUGCUCAUACAUGAAUGGGGCUUAAAGAUUUUUAUUACCGUAUAUAAAUUCGAUAGCCGCGAAGAGCAUGUGAAGCUUCAGGAAGAAAUGAUAAUUUAUAAAAAUGAUUGAUCCACGAACUCGAACGAUCCACGAAAUUCAUCGUAUUCUCAACAGAAAAACGCACAUCCGAAUUAUGCAGGAUUUUCAACACUAUCGACAACUCAGAUGGGAAGACGAUUUAGCAAUGGCAGUUAACGAUGAGUAAUUUCAAAUGCAUUCAGAUUGUUAUACCCACCAGGAUCUUGCAGGGAGAGUGAUUACGUGUGCCAAUCAGCUGGUUUCUGGCUGCUACGAAAGCGAGUUUAUAUACGUGAAAAAAAUGUGCAAAUGAUAAAUAAUGUUCAGUCCACGAAACUUAAUUUUCAAUAGAUUUUUUUUUUUUUCAUUCGAAUAAAAUCUUCUA